CAGCCGCCGCGGGAAUACGAACCGUGCGAACGUUAUUCGGAAUUACUGGGCUUAAAGCGCGUGUAGGCGGGCCGCCACGUCGGUUGCUGAAAUCCCCCGGCUCAACCGGGGAAGUGGCAUCGAUACGAGCGGCCUUGAGGGGGGUAGGGGGAUCUGGAACUUCCGGUGGAGCGGUGAAAUGCGUUGAGAUCGGAAGGAACGCCCGUGGCGAAAGCGAGGUCCUGGACCCUUUCUGACGCUGAGACGCGAAAGCCAGGGGAGCGAACGGGAUUAGAUACCCCCGUAGUCCCUGUCUCUUAUA
rnacentral:rRNA from 1 species